CCUACGGGAGGCAGCAGUGGGGAAUAUUGGGCAAUGGGCGCAAGCCUGACCCAGCAACGCCGCGUGAAGGAAGAAGGCUUUCGGGUUGUAAACUUCUUUUCUCAGGGACGAAGCAAGUGACGGUACCUGAGGAAUAAGCCACGGCUAACUACCUGCCAGCAGCCGCGGGAAUACGUAGGUGGCAAGCGUUAUCCGGAUUUACUGGGUGUAAAGGGCGUGUAGGCGGGAAAUCAAGUCAGAUGUGAAAACCAUGGGCUCAACCUGUGGCCUGCAUUUGAAACUGUUUUUCUUGAGUACUGGAGAGGCAGACGGAAUUCCUAGUGUAGCGGUGAAAUGCGUAGAUAUUAGGAGGAACACCAGUGGCGAAGGCGGUCUGCUGGACAGCAACUGACGCUGAGGCGCGAAAGCGUGGGGAGCAAACAGGAUUAGAUACCCCAGUAGUC
rnacentral:rRNA from 1 species